rnacentral:rRNA from 1 species
AAUAUUGGACAAUGGGCGAAAGCCUGAUCCAGCCAUCCCGCGUGUGCGAUGAAGGCCUUCGGGUUGUAAAGCACUCUUGGCAGGAAAGAAACGGCUCUGGCUAACAUCUGGAGCCGCUGACGGUACCUGCAGAAUAAGCACCGGCUAACUACUCGCGAGGAGCCGCAGUAAUACGUAGGGUGCAAGCGUUAAUCGGAAUUACUGGGCGUAAAGCGUGCGCAGGCGGUUCGGAAAGAAAGAUGUGAAAUCCCAGGGCUUAACCUUGGAACUGCAUUUUUAACUACCGGGCUAGAGUGUGUCAGAGGGAGGUGGAAUUCCGCGUGUAGCAGUGAAAUGCGUAGAUAUGCGGAGGAACACCGAUGGCGAAGGCAGCCUCCUGGGAUAACACUGACGCUCAUGCACGAAAGCGUGGGGAGCAAACAGG